GCACACGAAAGCACGGGACAGCGGUUUUUCUCAGGCUGGCGGCAGCCCAAGACAUCAUCUGCUUCGACAAGGGGCUGAGAGGUGCAAAGAGGAGCAGCCAGAAUCAGCCUGUCUAGUCCGGCCCCGGGACAACCCGGUCUGGGCGUUCAGAUCGCUGCGACAAAUCUCCAGAAACUCAGAGGCUCGGCUCCUCCUGACGCCGAACCGCCUUGAGUGACCGCGAAGGAGCCGGGCGCGGGGACCCUAUAUGGUGCAGAACACUUCCUUUGCCUGGUCCGUCGCAAAACUACGUUCCGGGAUCCUGCAAAGUCGGUUCCGCUGCCUCGCGGUACUCGUUCCAACCCCACCCCUGCCAGGAGUGACGCAACCCUUCAUCGCUCCCGGUUGCUUGGAAACGACAGGUUUCCUUCCAGGAGAGAUUCGGAAGAGGACAUCAAGAAAGCCUGGAACUGGAGUUAUACAUGGUUGUGAGCCGUCUCGUGGGGAAUCGAAAUUGAACCUGGGUCCUCUGGAAGGGGAACCAAUAUCCUUAACUGAUGAGCUAUUUCUCCAGUUCCUUCCAUUGGUUCUCUUGGCAGAGAAAACAAGAGAAAAAGGACACUAUGGAAAAAUAAAGAAAAAACAAUGUAGCA
rnacentral:lncRNA from 1 species